CUACGCACUCCUACGGGAGGCAGCAGUGGGGAAUAUUGCACAAUGGGCGCAAGCCUGAUGCAGCCAUGCCGCGUGUAUGAAGAAGGCCUUCGGGUUGUAAAGUACUUUCAGCAGUGAGGAAGGUGGGUAUGUUAAUAGCAUACUCAUUUGACGUUAGCUGCAGAAGAAGCACCGGCUAACUCCGUGCCAGCAGCCGCGGUAAUACGGAGGGUGCGAGCGUUAAUCGGAAUUACUGGGCGUAAAGCGCAUGCAGGUGGUUGUUAAGUCAGAUGUGAAAGCCCGGGGCUCAACCUCGGAAUUGCAUUUGAAACUGGCAAACUAGAGUACUGUAGAGGGGGUAGAAUUUCAGGUGUAGCGGUGAAAUGCGUAGAGAUCUGAAGGAAUACCGGUGGCGAAGGCGGCCCCCUGGACAGAUACUGACACUCAGAUGCGAAAGCGUGGGGAGCAAACAGGAUUAGAUACCCUGAUAG
rnacentral:rRNA from 1 species